rnacentral:rRNA from 1 species
AGCCUGCCCAGUGACUAAGUUAAACGGCCGCGGUACCCUAACCGUGCAAAGGUAGCGCAAUCACUUGUUCUUUAAAUGAGGACUAGUAUGAACGGCAUCACGAGGGUUACACUGUCUCCCUAUUCCAUUCAGUGAAACUGAUCUUCCCGUGAAGAAGCGGGAAUAUAAAUAUAAGACGAGAAGACCCCAUGGAGCUUUAAACUCAGUGUCAUCUGCCACUUCAAUAUCCUCUUAACCACGCAGACCAUGAUAACUAGUUUUCGGUUGGGGUGACCGCGGAGUAAAACAAAACCUCCACAACGAAAGGAACUAACAACCUAAUCUAAGAGCAACAUCUCUAAGAAUCAAUAAAUUGACUUAAUUGAUCCAAUCACUUGAUCAACGAACCAAGUUACCCUGGGGAUAACAGCGCAAUCCAUUUCAAGAGCUCAUAUCGACAAAUGGGUUUACGACCUCGAUGUUGGAUCAGGGUAUCCCAGUGGCGCAGCAGCUACUAACGGUUCGUUUGUUCAACGAUUAAA